GACGAACGCUGGCGGCGUGCCUAAUACAUGCAAGUCGAACGCAGUGGGGACGGGUGAGUAACACGUGGGUAACCUCCCAUCAGAGGGGAUAACACUUGGAAACAGGUGCUAAACCGAUACUGAUGGAUGGACCCGCGGUGCAUUAGCUAGUUGGGGAGGUAACGGCUCACCAAGGUCACGAUGCAUAGCCGACCUGAGAGGGUGAUCGGCCACACUGGGACUGCGAAACGGCCUAGACUCCUACGGGAGGCAGCAGUAGGGAAUCCGCGGCAAUGGCCUCAUGUCUGACCGAGCAACGCCGCGUGAGUGAAGAAGGUUUUCGGCUCGUAUACCUCUGUUGGUAGAGAAGCGGUAUCUACCCAGAAAGCCACGGCUAACUACGUGCCAGCAGCCGCGGUAAUUC
rnacentral:rRNA from 1 species